rnacentral:rRNA from 1 species
UACGUAGGGUGCAAGCGUUGUCCGGAAUUAUUGGGCGUAAAGAGCUUGUAGGCGGUUUGUCGCGUCUGCUGUGAAAUUUCGGGGCUCAACCCCGAACUUGCAGUGGGUACGGGCAGACUAGAGUGUGGUAGGGGAGACUGGAAUUCCUGGUGUAGCGGUGAAAUGCGCAGAUAUCAGGAGGAACACCGAUGGCGAAGGCAGGUCUCUGGGCCAUAACUGACACUGAGGCGCGAAAGCGUGGGGAGCGAACAGG